ensembl:lncRNA
CUGUGACCUAUACCGCAGCUCACGGCAAAGGCUGGAUCCUUAACCCACGGAGGGAGGCCAGGGAUCAAGCCCGCAUCCUCACAGACACCAUGUGGGGUUCUUAACCCACUGAGCCACGAUGGGAACUCCCUGUUGCUCAUGCUUAAUUCAAGCUUGCUGAAAAUGGAAAACAGAGGGGGAGGGGAAGAGGGAAAGGGGAGCAAGGGGAGGGGAAGAGGAACAGGAGAAGAAGAAGAAAAACACUGAGCACAGGGUCCCCCCUGCACCCCAAAAGGGAGCAGGCAGAGGGGUGCAGAAGGCCUUCUCAGGGAAGCCUCCCCAAUGCCCCCCAAACCUCGGAGCCUGGAGGCACACAGGACCCAAGUAAGACACGACCCAGAGCCAGCUGAAGGGAUAAGCCAGCAUUUACUGUGACGACCAGAAGCCCCCGUACUGUACCCGGCAUGCGCAGGGGCUCUGGGACGUGUCUGAUGCACGAAUGACCAUGUCUACAGAUGAAAACAGCAGAGGCUGGAACAUGAAUGUGUGAUGGCCCAGAGGAGACGUGACCUGAGACCACCCAGCAGACAGCCAGGCCUCGCUCGGGGACCAGCAUUGGCCUCCUUCCGCUCCAGCUGCUACGGCAGCUGCACCCUGACUUUCAGCUACUCAAGAAUAUGGCCCCAGGGGGCUUCCAGGAGCUUUGGAGGAGACCCAAGAGUGUCAUACAAAGGAGAAAAUGCUUCAGCAGGCAAGGGGUUAGGGAGGACAGUGCAUGUGGCCACAAGAGCAGGCUGACCGAGACGACAAGGAUACCAGCCUUCAGAAUAAAGGGGGAAUGAGGUCUCAGUAAACGCCCUGGUCAUUCAACAGGGGUGUCUCUUGGCAUCUGAAUUCCUCUGCCAGCCUGAUGUGCAUCUGCGAGGAGGCCACCAAGGGAACUUGAAGAAGAGCCAGGACUAAGUCCCAACUCCGGCCCUCGCCGGCUGUGCAGCCUUAAAGCAAAUCGCUCAACCUCUCUGGGCUUCAAUUUUCGGAAAAAAGAAAAAAAAAAAAAAGAAAGAAAAAUUGCGCAUUCAUUCUCCAAGCACUCUCAGAGCAAGGCCUGCUGUGAGCUUGACCUACAGACCUCAAAGAGAGAGAAGCCAAGCCCGGGGCUUGGGGAUGUUUACUGGAAUAAGGCCACAGCAUAAACACACAGCACUCUACGGAUGUAAGGUGUUGUCAUUAGACUUUACGUUCUGUCAUAGAAGCCCCUUUCUGACUUUUUUUCUCUUCCUUUCUUUUUUUUCUUUUUUCUCUUAAGUUUCAAGACAUAGUGUUUGUCACCGUGAAGCAGAACAGAGCGCCAGGAAGCUCAUGGCUACUUCAGCGCUGACAACACUCAGCUGGGCUCGAACCAGGCCAGCGCCUCCUCCCAGCUCAUCUACCCAUGGAUGCCUGUUCCUAGAGUUAGUUCUCAACUCUUCUCCAACAGAGGGCUUGCCUCAGGCUCUGAGAGAGGCGUGGGGGCCAGGGAGGAAGACCUAGAACAGACCCCUGCCGCCCAGGCCGCAGCCACACCCCUCGGGGAAGGCAGAGGGACCAUGGAGGCGACAGGCCUUUCCCCGACGUCCCCCUCCAUAAGGAUGCUUCAUGACCCCUCCUCCAGAGAGGAGCGAGGGGACGUGGAGCAGCUGGCAGGACUGCUCACACACACCCAGCAGAGGCAAGGUUUCCUGGCUGGGGAGCAGCUGAAACCUUUUACUGAAACUGCUUGACACCUGAGCCACCCUUGACGACAAUGACACGUCCCCACAGAGGGCGAGGGAGAUUAAAUGAGAUAAUGUGCCCAGGCAGAAACCUCUCUCACCAGCAGCUUUCCCACUCUGUUCUGGGCUGCACUUCCCUCCCCGGACCCUGUGGGGGCAGGUGGGGGGAGCAGGUGUGACUCGGCAGGUGG